GAGAAAGAGUAAUUUUGUCUAUUAAUUACUUGGGAAAAUACAAAAUUUUUUUCACUGAUGAAACAUCAAGGCGAUUAUUCAAUUAUCCAUGCCAAGCGCUCAUCAUAAAAAUUAAAAAAUGGAUUAACAGAUUAAAAAAAUGAUAGACAGAUUUUAUUAACAGACCUGCACUACACCUGCUUGAAAUCAUCAGAGAAUCUCUAAUGACCAACUUUUUGUUGCCAAACUAGAAACAAAAUUAUGGCUACAACGAAUAAAAUCAAUCUGCACCUGCAACCAUCAAAUAUGUUAUUAGCAACAGAAAAAUGCUACACAAUCCAAGAUACAAACAGAGCUAGAAAGUGGUGGGUUAGAACUGAUUACAAACUUCAUAAAUACUUGAUUUGUUGUGUUAGUGCAUGCAUGUGCCAACAUGCCCCUGCAGAUUGUGUGUGCACGCACGUGAAAGAUCAAUGUAUUGAUCCCCCAUGAAAGAGAGAACAAAAAUGAUGAGAGAUGACCGCACAUUCAGCAAAAUUUCCUACUAAAGCUUCUUCUUACCAAAUAAGGGAAGAACAAGCAAAAAAUACCAGUACAAGAUGAAUAUACCACGAUUACUUUCAUACUCAUGUUCCCCAUAUUAAAAUACACAAUUCAGAUAAUCAAUUAAAAUAGUGCUAAACAAGUAGCCAUCAUUUCCCUCAACUAGUGACAAAUAUCGGAGUAGAGCAUUUUUGCCAUCCAAAAUGUGUCAAAAAGGCAUAUCUAUGCCUCACUGGCUUCUGCUUCUUGCAACUGAUCUCAAUGGUACUUUGCUCAUGGAUGCAUGUCAGAUAUAAAACUCAUGUUUGUUAUGUCACAUUCAUGGUUUGCUAUUUUUUUUCAUGUUUUCUUAUAUUUUCCUUUGUACUUGAGGAAUCACAUCCAAGCACCUGUGUUUGUUCCAACACUAGGCACAGUAGGGUAAUAUGAAGAGUCUGAGCAUUGCUCCCUAAGAGCAUACCAGCUGCAAUUUGCACAUGGGCACUGGCAGAUUGCAUGGAAUAAACCUCUUUUAUAGCAUCCCUAACAAAAGGCUUAUAGGUCUGGGACUUAAAAGAUCAGGCUACUUGGGUAUCCUGUGGAGCAUUGGAGAUGAAGGCACUGGUAAUAAAAAAGGUGCCAUUCGCAUCCCUAUCCACAUAAACAGAGGGGGAUGAAAAAGAAAAAAAAAAUCUUCUGUUGAACAACUAUUACAGUUAUUUUCACCAUCAAUAAUAAAUGACUGAACUUUGGUUGGACAUUUGUUAAUUCAUUUCACAACAAUCUUCAAAUUCUUAUAUAAAUAUUGGCAUAUUUUCAUUUGCACAAAAAUGUCUAAAACAUCAAUAGAGAGAAAUAAAUUUCCAUUCAGAAUGACUGGCUAAUUAUGGUUUUCAGCUCAUAAUAGAAUUUUCAAAGCCCUCCCCAGCGACCAUUUUCAUUCAUAUUGAGCAACAUUAUUGGCAUCGCUAUGCCUGAAAGGUGUAGGUUAGUUUUUGGAAAUGUUAGCCCCUUUUAAUUAUCAAAACAAAAACGCUCCUCUGCCAGUCAUAUCUUUGCAAAAUUUAUCUAAAACUAAAUAAACAUACAAACGCACCAGAUUCUGAAUUACCUCUGAUUUGAAUAGUCUGAUUGACAUUCUUGGAACCAGUUAACGCUGGCUGGAUGUUUGAUAAAGAUAUUGGUGUCAAAGGAGGAGAGACCAUAUCUUGAGGUACCUCUGAAUUCUGAUUAGUUUCCAGAGGCUUUGAGAUAUUCAUUGCCAUUGCUCCAAGACUGCUGGAUGGUAUGGAGAAACUGCGAGUGACAGCCUGAGAAGGUAUUGGCAGUGGAGAUGCUGAAUUUGACAUCAAUGAUUUACCUGUAGGACGUACAUGACCUUUGGGCACCAAAGGAGCUGAAUGACCAAUCAAACUCAAAGGCCUUGAAGAUUUGGAAGCUGAACUGGCAGGCGGUCUAGGAAGCUCAUGAAGUUCACUUAUUUUAGGAGAGGACACAAAAGUAGGGGAAGCUGUUGGAGAUACCUUUGGAGAUACUUUAGGAGAUACCUUCGGAGAUACUUUAGGAGAUGAUGGUAGUUGCACUGUUGGAUUUCGCAAAAGGGGUCCUGAUAACAAUCCAGGAGGUUCCAUUGAAACUGGCUUGGUAGGCCAUGACUUACUUGUAAUAGGACCUGAAAAGGCAUAUCUUUUAAUUUUCUUAGAAUCUGACUGUGAAAUGAAGAACCCAUCAGCCAGAGGAGGAGGUAAUUGAGUGGAAGCAGUAUUUUUGUUCCUUUCCCUGAGCACUGACUGUGCAUUUUUAACAGUGGAUCCACAAAAUUUACCAUCUCCUGUUAAUUUUUCAUAUUUCUUUGGUUCUAGAGGGGAUGAAUGCCACAAAUUGUGCCCAUUCAAACUUGUCUUCAACGUUUGAUGAACUAGACUACCUGCUCCUGUAGAGUUUGAACUCUUUGUCUCAACUGGGGUAGGCAGUACAUAUGUGUUGAGCCUUCUUGAAGAUGGCCGCAUCUGUUUCACCCUUUCUGCAGGAUCAGAUUUAUUUUCAGCAAAAAGUGGUGCUGAUUGGCUUAUUUUCCUACUUUCUCCUCUAGAAGAAAAUGAUUUCAGAUAUCUUCUAUCAAGAUUUUCCUUUGUGACUUCUGAUGUUGCAACUUGGGGAAAUGUAACAUCCACUAGAUCCAACUCCAUUGAGUUUCUUGAUGUAGAAACAUCUUGCUUAUCGUCAUUCUGUCCACAAUCAAAACUCAAUUCUCCAUCAUCAAGCACAUCACAGGUAUCAUCAUCUUCAUCAUCAUCAUCGUCUUCAACAAGAGUAUCCUCUCCAUGAUCUGCAUAACCAUACUGAUCAAGAGACUCAAUGUCAGACCCAUCAUCUUCAUCUGAAACUCGAACUUCGAAGGGUCCCCUAUUUAUUCCAUGCAGUUCAUCAUCAUCGCUGUCAAUCUCGAGCAAGUUGGACCUGUUCUGAGCAGCCCGCCUCCGAAGCAUGAAGACAUUAAAGUAAUAGCUGACAAUUUCCUUUGUGGAUCGAUAAGGGAAAACUUGUGAUAAGUAGUUCCAAAAGUUCUGGCCCAAGGAUGCAGGAUUUGAAAACACAACUGCAUGAAACAACCGUUGCUCAUCCUCGCUCCAUUUAUGUGUCACCUCCUCUCCGAUGUCAUAAAGUCCCAAAUUCAUUAAUUUUUCAUGUCCAAGGGAUUUUCUGAGUUUUUGUUGAGCUUCCAUUAUGUGCUGUCGUACACAUCUAAUAGAGCCUUCAUCCAGGCAACUGCAAUCUGUUCUGCCACGUCCAGCCUCAUUACUGUUGUCUGCAGAGGACUCUAUAUCUGGCAUCGGAAUAAUGCAUGCGCCCAUCAGCUUCUCUUCAUUAUCAUCAUAAAUCAAGUCUGAUCCAGAAAGAGAAGAGAAGUUAUUUGGAUCAACCGAGUCUACUUGUUCUAAUGGGUACUUCUUCUCAUGCCCGCCCCACAUUGGAAUGCUGGCUUGAUGAUCUGGUCCAAGAGGAACUUGUCUUCUAGGAGAACGAUCCAAGUACGAGGAGUACGCAUUCUCAAAAGGAACAAAUCUCUGGGGAAAACCAAAUUCAGAAUGUUCUGGGGAAUGAGAAGAGUAAGCUGCUACCCUGUACCCAACAUCUUCAUCACCAGAACUGCUUGUGACCAAUGGCAAAGGAGCACUGACCUCAACAUCUUUGGCAAAACUUGGAUCUGCAGUGACACCAUUGUUUUCAAAUGUGUCAUGCUGUUGAGAUUUUACAAUGCUUCCCUCAUAAUCAUCUGUACCAUCAAGUCCCUGAGACGUGGUUUUAUACAAAUUUGCAAAUUGGGUUAACUUAUUGCUGUAGUCCACCUGUCUAGCCUGCUUACAAGGAAGCUCCUGAAACUCCUCACUAUCAAAGGGCCUUUUAAAUCCCAUUAGCCUGUAAAAUUCGCAAGAAUUCAAACUCAAAGACAGAAUAGAGAAAAAUUGCACUUAGAUUUGGCGUAAAAACACGGGAUUAUACCGCUAAGAUGAUUUAAAGAUGAGAAGAAACGAAACCCCAAGCCAAUUCCACAAAAAGAGAACCUUAAAAUUUCCCAAAAGAAACCCUAACCCUAAAUUCCGAAUUCACCAACGAUACAACCCAAUUUCCAAGAAAAAAAGGGUGAUACAGAGACGGAAUAACGAAAGAAAUAUAACGAAAGGAAUCAAAACCUAAACGAAUUUACAGGUUCCGACAACCACUACACAAAUCGAAAAAUUCGAAACCUUCGAAACCCUAAAGAUCAAGGAGAAACGAAACAAUCUACAAUAAUAUACCGAGAAUUGAUGGGGAAAUUAAGGCAUACACAGAGGAUAUCGAAAAACCAUAAGGAAUCAAGAGAUUAGAGGACCGACGAGAACAAGACUCGAAACCCUAACCCUAGAAAAGUGCAGAAUCAACGGCCACAAUCGAAAGAGGUGUCGAUCAAAAGAGGAGACCGUGAAUUGAACGAAUCGAGCGUUGAUUCGAAGAAUUAAAGGGAAAAUUGCAGAGAAAUCGGAGAUCGAUUUUGAGUGGAUUUUGGAUGAGGGAGACGAUGAAAUACGAUUUUCAGAUUCGAGGAUUUUGUACGCUAUGCGGUCCGAGAGACCAACCGGGUU
rnacentral:misc_RNA from 1 species